CUCUUAUAAAAUCAUACAGGAAACAUUAUCAAACAUAAAAUGAUGUUUGACUUUCUUUAUUCUAAAAACUAAUAAAAAUAGGUGCUAAAAAUUUUCCAAAUGAAAAUAAAUAUUGCUAAACCAAAGAGAAAUGUUAUCUAAGCCCCGUAUAAAAAAUAAAUAAAUCUUGUUCCAAUUGCAUCAAAAAACCCAUUAAGGGCCCUCCAGCACAGGGUUAAUACCAACGAGUUUCCACCUCCAGCUGCUCCUAGAGUGGCCACAGCAUGAGCCAUCUGGUGGGGGACCUAGCCGCCAACAGACACUUCCUGUACAGGGGAGGGGGGAGGGGGCCAGGCAGCCGUUAGACAGCACAACCGAACCCAACACCGGGGCCCAACGGCAGGGGCUUGGGCAGGAGCAAGGUCCGAGGGCUGCCAGGUCCACGCUGCUUUUAUGAGCUGUAACACUCACCGCGAAGAUCUGCAGCUUCACUCCUGAGCCCAGCGAGACCACGAGCCCACCGGGAGGAACAAACAACUCCAGACGCGCUGCCUUAAGAGCUGUAACACUUGCCGUGAAGGUCUGCAGCUUCACUCCUGAGCCAGCGAGACCACGAACCCACCAGAAGGAAGAAACUCCGAACACAUCUCAACAUCAGAACGGACAGACUCCAGACGCACCACCUUAAGAGCUGUAACACUCACCGCGAGGUUCCGCGGCUUCAUUCUUGAAGUCAGUAAGACCAAGAACCCACCAAUUCCGGACACAGUAGCAUUUGGGAAUAAUAAGAAUUGUAGCUGGGCAUGGUGGUACACGCCUGUAGACCCCUAGCAGCUGCCAUCAUCCUCACCAUCCGCAUAUUAUUGAUAUAUUAACUCUUUGAUGGCAACCAUAGCUUAUCCCCCUUAUCUCCCUAUGCCCUACAGCAGGGCAGUGGAAUGGUUAAGAGGCUUUGAAGUCUAAGAGUGCUGGCUUAAAACCCUAAUUUGUCAUUUUGGAUGUGUGGCUUUGGACACUUGGGGCAGGUCACCUAUGUUCUUCAAGCCCUGUAUCCUUAUCUGUCAGAUGAUGAUUUUUUUUUUUUUAGACGAAGUCUCACUCUCUUGCCCGGGCUGGAGUGCAGUGGCAUGAUCUCGGCUUACUGCAAGCUCCACCUCCCGGGUUGACGCCAUUCUCCUGCCUCAGCUUCCUGAGUAGCUGGGACUACAGGCUCCUGCCACCACCCGUGGCUAAUUUUUUUGUAUUUUUAGUAGAGACAGGGUUUCACCAUGUUAGCCAGGAUGGUCUCGAUCUCCUGACCUCGUGAUCUGCCCGCCCCAGCCUCCCAAAGUAUCAGAUGAUUUUAACAACUAUGCUUCCAUGACUUGCUGGGCUAGAUGAUAUGACUGUAAAAUGCCUAACCCAUGGUUUAGCAUCAAGUAAGCAAAUUGUAAAUGGUAGCACUGCUCUGCCUAUGACUAUUUAGUCUUGUGCUUUAAACUCAAAUAUUUGUUGGCCUACUGAAGUCACCACACAGAGAAAGAUGCUUUUCAUUCUCAGUAAAGAACUUUGGGAGAUAACUGGGGCAGGCAGCAAGAGAACAGAUGUCAUAUGUCUAGCAUCAGCAAACUCAUCAGAACUGAUGGGCAGCUCACUUUGCUUAGAACCUGCACCAGCAUACACACGGGGCUGCUUCCCAGUCACACUGCUCCUGGGAAGGUAGGGGGGCUGCUGUUCUGCAAUUAGCGCGGUUCUUUACCUCCUAUUACCGAACUGCCAGAGUUCAUUUGUGUUCAGUUAGGUAGAUGACCAAUUCUUGUUCAUUCCUAUUUUCUUUUGCUCACUAAUGUGUUUAACGUUCACUAACCUACCAAAUGUGAUUUAUUAGCGACUUUUUCUUUGAAGAUGGAGUGGAGGAAUCCUAGCGCUUUCUGCAACAUGCUACUGCUGUUAUGGAACAGUGCAGAUAUGGAAGUGCAUCAGCCGGGGAUGGGGAGAGGCUAGGGCAGUACAUGUGAAUGGAGAGGUAGCCCCACCAGUGUGUUUUCUGAAAUACAGUCCCGCAGAGGGCAGUCUUGGGAAAUUACUGUUCUCACACACUCUUCUUGACCCUACCCCUCCAGCACCUCCCUUGCUAUCCAAGGGUUGGGAUUUUUAAAAAGAAAAACAAAUUUUAAAAAAAGCAGUGUGAAUCUUUUGCCAUCUUGUAAGGGUGAAAAGCCCCCUACCAAGUCGGGAUGAACAUUCAUGCGUGUGCUUGAGGGCUUGGGAAAAAGACAGGGCUUGGCCCCACAGUGCAGGUAGGCCCAGUGAUCCUAUAAUAGGGGCCAGGAGAUGGGAGGUCCCCUGUGGGCAGGAGUUCAAGUAUGUGGUAUUAUAUGACUGGUGCUUGAUGAACCCAGGGAGAGGGCACCAAAAACAAUGGUAUUUAAUUGUAAAAUCUCCACCCCCUGAGGAUAUGUUUUCAGGUCUGGGUGACUAAUUAGACUGGGAAACAAGGGCAGGAACGAUGGCCCUGUGCUUGCUCUGCCCGCUGCCUCUGUGGAUGUGUGGGCUGCUGGCUUCAGUCCUGCUUUUCUUUCUGAUGGUAUUGUUUAUGCUAUGUGUUUUUGCAGGAGGCCUGAGGUGGGCUGGGUUCUCCUCCUAUGGCAGGGCUUCACUCUCCUCCUCCUUCUCUGUUGGGGCUUCACUGUCCCUGGGAUAAGAAUAACAAUGCCAAGGUUUUCAUUCUUGAAAGGAGCAAUUAAGCGUCUCACCCCCUCCUCAUUUUAGAUGGGAACUGUGAGGGUCCCGUCAUUUACCCAGGGUCCCUGUUGAGGAUCUUGUCCUCAUUAGAUGACUUCUUGUGCAGCUUCCAUGCGUGAUUCUUUACUCUUGUGGCACUGAGAGGUUUGUACAUGUCUUUAAGCCAGAGCGGCUUUCUGAAUGAAAAAAGUCCAUCCUAGAAGAUAGAAAGGGAAAUAUUAAUUUUGCAUGUCCUCUGCUUUCCCUGGUCACAGCAAUGAAUCCUCCAAUGUACCUGACUCUCCCUUUGCGAAGAGCAUCUCCGUGGCAGAAAUCUGAAAAUGCCCCUGGGGAGACACAUGCACAAGACAGUUCGUGAGCCACACAUCUCCCCACACCAAGCUCCUCCAUACAAGACCUCGGACUGCAUCACGUAAAUGCUUUUUCAGGGGCAAAAUCUAGAGAAUCUGAAACGAGCUAUCAGCUUCCCAGUUUGCACAAUUCAUCAAGAAAUUAUGCGGGGUCACUGGCACAAAUGAUGAGGCAUCUCCUGGAAGCUUAACUUCUUAUCCAUCCCAUCUCUUGGACAGAUGAUGCCAGUUAAUUACUUUGAAUGCUCUGCUGCUAUGGUGAGCUGCACGUCUGGAGGCUUCACAGAGACACUGGGUGAAUCUAAAUGAUGAGUUUGAUGGUGACCUGGAGGUGAAACUGUGACUUCAUGAUGUUCUAGAGGCUGACCUGGGGUCUCCUGCUGGGUCAGAGAAGAUUCGACCUCCCCAGAAGACUCAGAAGGCUGAACUGGCUGCUGCUGCUCACUGAUGGAAAGUUCAUGCUCCAUAGGAGGAACUGGAGGCUCAAUUGGGGCCUCCUGUUGGGUUGCAGAAGGUUCCACCUCCUCUGGAAACUGAAUUGGGGUCUCCUGCUGGGUUUGGGAAGAUUCUGUCUCAUUGGUAGGCUCUGAAGUUAUGGUAACCUCCACAUCUGCAGGUUUAACUGUAAUGUUGGGCAAGUGAUAAUAAGCUUGAUCCUCACCUGGAGGUUGAACUGACACCUCAUGAUUCGGUAGAGUUAGACUCUCCAUAGAGGACUCUGGAGGCAGAGCUGGGGCCUCCUGCUGCAUUGAAGAAGGUUCUUCCUCAAGGAGCUGUGGAAGCUGUGCUGGGGCUUCUUGUUGGAGUGAAGAGGACUGGAUGUCUUCAAGGGUCUCUGGAUUUUGAGUUUCGGGCUCUAGAUGGAAUUGAGAAGGUCCAACUUGCUCAGAGGGCCCUGGAGGCUCAUCUGACUUCACCCGGAGUUCUGGAGGCAGGCUACCGGGAUACGGUGUAUCUGUACUGGAAUAUUCAUUCUGCAAAUUCUGUUUCUGAC
rnacentral:lncRNA from 1 species